UACGUAGGGUGCAAGCGUUGUCCGGAAUUAUUGGGCGUAAAGAGCUCGUAGGCGGUCUGUCGCGUCGGAUGUGAAAAUCCAGGGCUUAACCCUGGACCUGCAUUCGAUACGGGCAGACUAGAGUUCGGUAGGGGAGACUGGAAUUCCUGGUGUAGCGGUGAAAUGCGCAGAUAUCAGGAGGAACACCGAUGGCGAAGGCAGGUCUCUGGGCCGAUACUGACGCUGAGGAGCGAAAGCGUGGGGAGCGAACAGG
rnacentral:rRNA from 1 species